UUCAAGGAGUGGGGCCUAGGACUGGAUAUGAGCUCAAGUUUUUUGCUGAUUUGUUUGGGCUUAUCAGGCCAAAAUCUCUUUGAAAUUCGUGUGUGUGUGUGUGUGUGUCACCAUCAAUGUAGAGAUUUAGUUUAUGUGUGUGGUCUCUUUACCUUUAUUUCCUGAAAACUUGGCUGAGGAGAAGUCCUGUGCUCAACUAUGGCUAUUAUGAUUGGAUCUGCCCAUUUUUGGUUUUUCCUUUGUAAUAGGGGACUUCACUUCUUUAUAUUUUACUGCGUCGAUGCUUGUCCAUUUCUGUGCACCCAACAAUCCUGCUAAAAGAAAAGAAUGGCCAAUUGAGAAGCUGAGGAAGUUUGAGGUCCCCAAAGCUCCAAAAUAUAUUUUCCUAUCAUUUGUCUAAUGGGACAUGCACCAAUACACUCUGCCAACACUCUUAUGUAACCUGUCUUGCUGCAGCAGAAAAAAAAUGUAAUUUCUAUCUCAAAAUCCUCAAGCAAAUUUCAUUUAUUUUUUAUAUUAGUUUCAUUUGAUAGCAUACGAAAGACACGUCUCUUCAAUUUAUACAUUUUCUUGUGGAAGGUCUUUUCUUGUUUGACAGGGAACUUUAUUAACACAAGGAUCUCUAAAAACAUGUUUUCCCAAUCUGAGCUACAAUCAGAUUGUAGGACACUUUUUUUUGCCCUUAUGUUUGUCAUCCCCUGCUCAAUGAAUUAUUUUUUUGCAUUAGAAGACUCACCAAAUUCUAGUUAUAAAUGCAGUUGGAAAGAGACUACGGGUGUGUGUAUUCACCUUUAAAUAAAAAAAAUAAAAAAAUAAAAAAAUCUAAAAUGGUUUUCAUUCAUUUUCUCACAAAUCCUCUCAAGAGUAGGUAAAAUAGAGAAAAGACCCAUUUCAGAAUUUUUUAUUUUUUAUUUUUUCUUUUUGAAACGAAUGGUCUUUUUUUGGGUGAGAAGGAAACUUGUUGGUCUUUUCUGUUAUGCAUCAUCUUAAACAAAAUUGCAUUUACUUGAUACAUUAGUCUGGGUAUCAACCUUGCCACUGCAGAUGUUAUCAUUCUCUAUGAAAGUGAUUGGUACAUUUUCCAUUCUGCUUUGCUAGUAGCAUUUUAAAUUGGUAUUUUUUACUGUCUGGCUUCAUCUCUCUUAUGUAUAUGCCAGUUUUUCCAGGUUGAGAGAAAAAUCAAUUUGGUUUAUGGUGGUGGAAGGAAGUGUAGGCUAAUGGGUCUAAUUUCUCAUGCUGUUUUUAAUGGUGGAUGCCAUGCUCUUGGGUCUCACAAUUUGUCAUUCACGUAUAAGGCUUGCACAUUAUGGAUAUAGUCGUCAAUUUCUGCAGGAUCAUUUAUGGAGAUAUUAGACAAUUCAUAUGUGAAAUGCAAGUUGGCUUUGGGAUCUACAGUAAACGUGCAUAACUGGGACCUACAGUAAAUGUGCCACUAUAAAGAAAACACCACAAUCCAUCCGAUGCUUCUAAGCAUACAUGAUUUAGAAAAGACCAUAGAAUGGAAGAUUGCUGUGGCAUGACUUGAAGAAAGGCGAUUUCUAUCAUCUAAUGGGAACUCCAAAGUCCUUUCACUUAUCAUCUAAGUCUUGUCAUCCAACAAUAUGAUUCAAGCAUUUGAAAUUAUGGCAAUUGCUGUCGUAGGGAACAACCUCAUAUGUUUGUCUUUUCAGCCUUCAGACUUUUACUGCAUGUCUGUCUUCAAUUAGUUGGGUUUCCGGUGGUGCUAUGUAGCUUAUAAUUUUCUACUAUCAUUUCGAAUUAUCUGCCAUAGUGUUCUUGCACCUGCCAGUUAUGACAAAAAUCUGGAUUG